rnacentral:rRNA from 1 species
GACGAACGCUGGCGGCGUGCCUAAUACAUGCAAGUCGAGCGGACCAAACAGGAGCUUGCUCUUGUUUGGUUAGCGGCGGACGGGUGAGUAACACGUGGGUAACCUGCCCGUAAGACUGGGAUAACUCCGGGAAACCGGAGCUAAUACCGGAUAACACCGAAGACCGCAUGGUCUUUGGUUGAAAGGCGGCUUCGGCUGCCACUUACGGAUGGGCCCGCGGCGCAUUAGCUAGUUGGUGAGGUAACGGCUCACCAAGGCGACGAUGCGUAGCCGGCCUGAGAGGGUGACCGGCCACACUGGGACUGAGACGCGGCCCAGACUCCUACGGGAGGCAGCAGUAGGGAAUCUUCCGCAAUGGACGAAAGUCUGACGGAGCGACGCCGCGUGAGCGAAGAAGGUCUUCGGAUCGUAAAGCUCUGUUGUUAGGGAAGAAGAAGCGCCGUUCGAACAGGGCGGCGCGGUGACGGUACCUAACGAGAAAGCCCCGGCUAACUACGUG